GAUGAACGCUAGCGGCAGGCUUAAUACAUGCAAGGCGAAGGGGCAGCAAUGUCACUGUCGUACGGGUGCGUAACGCGUAUGCAACCUACCUAUCACUGGGGGAUAGCCCGGGGGAAACCCGGAUUAAUACCGCAUAACACAGGGGCUCCUCAUGGAGAUAUUUGUUAAAAGAUUUAUCGGUGGUAGAUGGGCAUGCGUUC
rnacentral:rRNA from 1 species